rnacentral:rRNA from 1 species
CCCUUAGAUGUUCUGGGCUGCACGCGCGCUACACUGAUGCGAUCAACAAGUUUUUCCUAUGUCGAUAGACACGGGUAAUCUUUUGAACUCGCAUCGUGACGGGGAUAGAUUAUUGUAAUUAUUAAUCUUCAACGAGGAAUUCCUAGUAGGUGCAAAUCAUCAGUUUGCAUCGAUUACGUCCCUGCCCUUUGUACACACCGCCCGUCGCUGCUACCGAUUGGUUGAUCUGGUGAAUUAUUCGGACUGCCGGCUGAAGGGGUUUCCUCAUCUGCCAGCGGAAAGUCUUGUUAACCCUAUCAACUAGAGGAAGCAGAAGUCGUAACA